AGCCAUAUCACCCUGCAGCCCAAGACUGGUUGCCCACUGAAGCUAAGCAGGGUUGAGCCUGGUCAGUACCUGGAUGGGAGACCUCCUGAAAAUGCAUCAUU
rnacentral:rRNA from 1 species